rnacentral:precursor_RNA from 14 species
AGAUAUUGGACCGAUCUCAGUACGACCUGCCCUUGAUCUUUGUUUUCUGAGAUUUUCUAGAGCUCGAAAAUAUCACAGCAAAGAUUGAGCGCAGGUCCACUGGGACCCAACAAUCCUACUGU